rnacentral:rRNA from 1 species
ACACCAGACUCCUACGGGAGGCAGCAGUGGGGAAUAUUGCACAAUGGGGGAAACCCUGAUGCAGCGACGCCGCGUGAGUGAAGAAGUAUUUCGGUCUGUAAAGCUCUAUCAGCAGGGAAGAAAUAGCGACCUUUGGGUCGCCAGACGGUACCUGAUUAAGAAGCCCCGGCUAACUACGUGCCAGCAGCCGCGGUAAUACGGAGGAUGCGAGCGUUAUCCGGAUUUAUUGGGUUUAAAGGGUGCGCAGGCGGAAGAUCAAGUCAGGGUUAAAAUUGGGGGGCCCACCCUCUUCGAGCCGUUGAAACUGGUUUUCUUGAGUGAGCGAGAGGUAUGCGGAAUGCGUGGUGUAGCGGUGAAAUGCAUAGAUAUCACGCAGAACUCCGAUUGCGAAGGCAGCAUACCGGCGCUCAACUGACGCUCAUGCACGAAAGUGUGGGUAUCGAACAGGAUUAGAUACCCUUGUAA